GAGGGUAUAGCUCAGUGGCAGAGCGCGUGUUUAGCAUGCACGACGUACUAGGUUCAAUUCCCCAGUACCUCCA
rnacentral:tRNA from 1 species